UUAGCUGUGGCAGUUGUCCAGUGAAUAUUGUCGGGGCGGUGACAAACUGUUUUGCAGGGAUUGGGCUGAGGAAGGGGAGGUGAAGAGAGAUGCAGUGAUUAAUGGCUGCCAAGUUCCUCUUCUCCUCCUGUUGAAGAUUGGGUGAGUGGUUGAUAAGAGGCACAAAAAUGCCAGCGUUAGGGAAGGCAGUCUGUGCUCUCUUAAAUAACAUUCUUAAUUGUUUGUUGGUGGUUUUAUGUGGGUCUUGAUUUCUGUUGUUUAGCCCCACGGACAGCACCACCACCUUUAUAUGUGGAUGAGGGGGAGUGUUUUCCAGGAGCCUCCAAAAAUGGUGCUGGGUGCGGCAGGAUCGGGUGGCUUUGUGGAUCCCGCUGGCCAGAGUGUUACCACUUUCUCUGGCUGAGGAUCCAGACGCAGGCCCGAUGUUACUGCCGGUCCUGUAGGAGGAGCAGAUGGAGCAGGAGUUAGGACUCUAAUGGGUACUGUGAAAUCACAAGAAGUGAGUUUGAGGCAGAUCCGAAUGUGUGUGGUCCUCCACGCACCCGAGACACAUGACACGGCUGUUGCCGAUCUCCAGGCUGAAAACAUCCGAGACGUCAGAGGAAUAAAGGUGGCAUUUCUUUUAGGGAAAAGAUGAGUGACUCAGAGCGAACCUUCCUAGAUGUUGCCAUCAUGGAAGUCCUACCAGAACUUCCAGCAGCAAACAAAAAUAUCCUGGUGGAGCACUUGCAGUCCAUUGGAGUCAAGACGUGUGAUGAUCUACGCUUUGUAACAGAGGCUGAUUUGAUGACUGCAUUAAGACCUGUACAAGCCAGAAAGCUCCUGUCUGUUUGGAAAUACCAAACUCCUGAAAACAGCUCACUGACAUCUGUGGAAGCCUCACCUACCCAAUCGCUGUCAUCGCUCUGUUUCACCCCGAAGUUCAUCAACCUCCUCCACCAGCCCAGGACUUGACACACAGUGGGACUACAACUUUGAAAUUCCAUGGAGUAAAAUUCCUGAGGAAUUGAUGGAUUCUUUGGAGAGGAGAAAAAGGCCAGGCCCAAGACUGAGGAGGCAAAUGGUCCGGAUUGUUGUGACUCAGAUGAUGAAAAAAAUGCCCUCAUGUAGGUAAAAAACAUUCAACUGACGUUGCAAGAAAAAUGGUGGCAAAAUAUCCCAGUUUUCUGCAAGAUGUAAUCGAGGGCGAUAUUGUUGGAACAGGCUACCAUUCUCUUGUCAAACAGUUGCAAAACAGAAUUGAAAAUGUGAGGCGCACUUCGACACCCAAAAUAAGAAAAAGAAAACAUCAGGCUGAUGACUCAGACACAGAUGAGAUCCUGUUAGAAGAGAGAGCAGCAAUGCAGGACACUUACAGAUGCAUUAAAUGGAAUGUAAAGUUUCUGCCCCGUGAAGAAACUCUACAGAGCCAGCAGCAAAAGAUGGAAAAGCUUAAGGUGAUGUUCCAGCACUCUGAUGCCAAUCCAGAGGAGGUAAAAUGUCUGAUGAAGUCCACUUUUUACACACAGCGUCAACAUGUCAACCAGGGGAAAAGUAUCAAAUACCUUAGAGAGGAGUGGCCGUUUUUGUUUGAUGAACUUGGCAUGUCAGUCCACUUCAAGGAACUCACUGGGAUUGACCUCAAAGAGACAUUCACACAAAAUUUGGAUUUGAAAGGGAAAAGGCUUCUCAACUACAUGACCACAGUUUGUGUCAGCAAGAGCACAAAGUUCCUUCAGACUUACACAAGGCUUCAGAGGAUGCGGGGACAGCAAAGUGGCUGCUGAGAUGAUGUGAAAGAGAUGCUCCUGCUUCUGCUCAGCUACUUCGAUGAGAAGGAGGAGUCCAUGUUCUUCCAUGUAGAACAUACAUGUCUGGCAGAAGAGGUCCAACUGGAGCAAGUGCCUCUGACACCCACUGUUAUUGUCUAUGUCCUGCUAUUCCUCAACAAGGUACAUGCCAAGUCUGGAUCGGAACCUUGUCAACACAAACAUCUCCUCCUUCAUUUCUGCAUUGUGCCUCAUGUUCGGGAGCGACUAUUGUUUCAACAUUCACUAUCCAUUUGAGCUGGCUUCAACUCUGGAGUUUCUUCAAAGGUGUUUCUUCUCCAUUAACCUUGAAAAAGGAACCAAAGUAGAAAACAAAAACUCGAAGCAUCGUCUCAACAUGAACCCUUGUGUCCUCACCCUGAUACAGGAUCUCUCAUGAGUGGUGUCAAACCUAAACAUGGACUCUUUCUGUGGACCCUGACUGCUUGUUUGAGAAGAGACCAAGCAGGAGGCGACGAAGGCUCGAAUGUCUGCCGCCAUGGAUGGCCACCAGAAGCAUUGCUGGAUGAGCGACAAUGUCCUAUGCACCCCUGGGUGGCAGGCUAUCCGGGAGGUGUGCCCCCAGAGGAGUACUGGGGUGCGGACAGGGGGCGGGACGAACAGCCGUCCGGGAGGACAGCCGUCCGGGAGGACAUCCGUCCGGCGCCUGGUGGUCCUUCAGUGCGUCGGUGACUUCCUGCUCCACCUGCCACCGGACCGCCCCUACCACACACACAGGGGGAAGGAUCGUCUCCGCGUUGUCCUCACCCUCCUCCGUGGCGAACUGACGAGAGAGGGCGUCAGGCUUUCGGUUACGGGAACCCGGGCGGCCGGGCGUAACACUCGUCAAUGUGGACAACAUCAGCAAGCCCUAACACAAAGAUGGGCAAAGCGUCCCAUGACAUCUGACGUGUCCACAGAAAACAACUGUUCCUCUCAGCCCCUGAUUAUGUCUUCAUCUCUGAGGACUCUCCUGGAUUGUCAACACCUCCACCCUGGUCAAAAAGUGACAACAGCAGCUUCACCGUGUGGUAUGGCGCCUGCUCCAUGUCCUGCAGAAAGAACCUCCAGCGCAUCGUGAGCAGCUGAGAAGAUCGUUGGUGCUUCUCUCCCCUCCCUCCAAAACCUCUACACCUCUCGCCUCACCCGCAAAGCCCUUUGCAUUGCGAGAGACCCCACCCACCCGUCACACAGCCUCUUCAGUCUGCUGCCAUCAGGGAGGAGACUGCAGAGCCUGCGGGCCAAGACCAGCAGACUGCGGGACAGCUUUGCCCACUCU